rnacentral:rRNA from 1 species
UACGGAGGGGGCUAGCGUUGUUCGGAAUUCCUUGGCGUAAAGCGCACGUAGGCGGCUUUGCAAGUUAGAGGGGAAAGCCCGGGGCUCAACCCCGGAAUUGCCUUUAAAACUGCAUCGCUAGAAUUGUGGAGAGGUAAGUGGAAUUCCGAGUGUAGAGGUGAAAUUCGUAGAUAUUCGGAAGAACACCAGUGGCGAAGGCGACUUACUGGACACAUAUUGACGCUGAGGUGCGAAAGCGUGGGGAGCAAACAGG